UCACACGUCCGACCGUGGUAGUACUACGUAGACGAAACAAAUAGCUAAUACAUAUAACAGGAGGCGAUUGACACUGCACAAUCCGUGUCACAACAAGAUAGGAGGGAGGGGGGGGGUUCAAAAAGGGGAGAAAGGAUCAGAAUUCAGCGGGUCGGAUAGUAGUAUCCGCCUGCCAUAUUAUAAGCUGUUGGCAUCCCAUAUGGCAUCGUCGGGUUGGGCAUGAAGGUGUUGUUGAGCUUGGCUAAGCUGGUCUGGCCCUGCAUCCCAUCUUUUGCAUACUGCUGCCACACGACCUGCUCCUGAACCAACAACUGCUGUUUCUUCUCUAUUUCUGCCAUCUGAACAUAGGAAGGUGGAGGAAUACUAAGCGAUGCUGCGAACGGAUCCCCUCCGAUGGUCUGCAUGGUACCAUCAGGUGCAGGAAGGGCGAGAACCGGAGCGGCGCCACGCCCGGGCACAGGCAAGGCCACACUGCUUGAGCUCCCUCCACUCAUCUGGGCAUUCACUUGCUGCUUCACAGCUCCC
rnacentral:lncRNA from 1 species